AGUCUCGUGUAGUUUACCAUCACAUUCUGAGCGUUAUUCUGAUCACCUGUUUGGCCUCGUGUGGAAGACUCCUUGUUUGUUCCAGACCUCGCUGCCUCCUGCCUGAUCCUUCUGGAGAACCAAUUGUGCAUCGAGGGCUCUUCAGUUUAGCAGUGAUGGCCAGGUCCAUUUCAAGCCGCCCUUCUGAGGACACUGCAUGGAAAGCAUUGCUACACAAGGUACAGGUGCCAAAGGAGCCGAUAGCAGGAAAAGAAGAAAUGAGAGAAAACCAGGGAGAAGCAUGAAGAGAGGUCCGUUCACUUUACACCAUCUUCCUGUACAUGACUUCACGGUUAUUUGUGUCUGCAGUAGUGUGAAGGAAAAGGGAAUUCACAUGAGUUACCUUUCAAGGAUGCAGCAAAAAAGGAUUAACAAAGGCAAACCCCAGGCAAUAGGAAUAGGAACAAGUGAGGACGACGAGAUCAGAUGGACUGCCCUUCGCUCUGGUUCUGUAUACAUCGCCCCUUCAAGUGUUUGCAGCCUGGGGCCACAAUUAGUGCCAGACCUUAGGUUGCCAUUGAGCUACAGUAGCUGGGCAACUGACCCCUGUACCGCACAACUUGAUAGGUUGCUUAAAUAAAUAAAAAUAAAAUCAGAACUUUGCUGUGGCACUGGAACAAAGUCAUACAACUUCGAGAAGUGAGAAUUACUGAAAAGAGUUACAAAUACUAUCCUCCUGUAUGCCUGAACCCUUGUUAUACAUCUGCCAAUCACUCAUCAAAAUGUCCACUUACAGUCAUUGUUUGGAGCUGUAAAUCAGGAUAUCAUCCGUUUUCUAUCAAAUAAGCACAACAAAACGAUGAAAUUGUUAGCCUAUCGUCUUGCUGCUGUUACACAUCCCUCCACCUCUCCACCCAAUCUUCAUCAGCUUCAUCACCUCAUCAUUCCAGUGGUGGGGGGGUAAGUAAGGAAUACGUUCUGAGGUGUCAGGUGAAAGGUGGGGCUUGAAAUGACAACAACCCAACUGUCUCAACAGUUCGGCCCUCAAUUGUUUUUUUAAUUAAGCAAGCAGAUUUUUUUAGUGAAAAAUA